AAUAGAAAUGCUAAUUCAGAAUGACCUCUUACGAAACCCUCGUCGAUAAUGAGGUCUGUGGGUCCGGAUGGCGAGUGUGGCGUGUUGGAUAAGCGUGAGGUGCGUCGUUUUUAACAAAGAUGCUCCGUGUCUCUAUGGUGGCACAAAUAGAUUGAUCUCAUAGCAACAUGGUUCCCAUGGUAACGCGGGAUGCAGAUGUCAGACCAGAGCGGUCCGAGUGGGAUUACGUGUCUGUUUCUCUCUCCCCAAAACAGGAAGCUCGUUUCCUUCUCUUUCCUUUGGCCUUCGACUCGCAGCGCCGCAGGCAGCAGGACAUGCUCUCUCUGCUAUUUUGGUUUGACACACACAUUUUAGAAACCGUAGGGACGACAUUUUUGUUUUUUUGGAAAGCAUCUCGUUUCUUUGUAAUGUUAGGCUGAGAUGUCUAAAAUGAGGUGUUUUAUAAUGAACUCCUCAGCUGAGAGUCCCUUUGGAUUGAAGCAUCCACAAAAUGCUUCAUUCUUUUUGUGCCUGUUUGAGAGAUUAUGAAACACAGUCCACAUCACAUCAUCUAUUUUGGUGUCGUGAGCCCCGUCCUGCAGCUCAUCCACAGACGAAAUCAGGCAUUUCAACUCUGACCUGUCAUUCAGGCUCCUGACGGAUGCAUUACAUAAUACCAUCUGGUGACGAUCCGCUCUGACGAGGAACCACAGAAACGCGUGUAAGCGGAGGUGUCGCACAAAAGG